rnacentral:rRNA from 1 species
AGCCUGCGAGGGGGAGCGAAUCCCAAAAAUAAACGUCCCAGUUCGGAUUGUAGUCUGCAACCCGACUACAUGAAGCUGGAAUCGCUAGUAAUCGCGGAUCAGAAUGCCGCGGUGAAUACGUUCCCGGGUCUUGUACACACCGCCCGUCACACCAUGGGAGUCGGAAUACCCGAAGCCUGUGAGCUAACUUUAAUAGAGGCAGCAGUCGAAGGUAGAACUAAUGAUUGGGGUGAAGUCGUAACAAGGUAAC